rnacentral:rRNA from 1 species
AAUCUCAGUUCAGAUUGCAGGCUGCAACUCGCCUGCAUGAAGUCGGAAUUGCUAGUAAUGGCAGGUCAGCAUACUGCCGUGAAUACGUUCCCGGGCCUUGUACACACCGCCCGUCACACCAUGAGAGUUGGAGAUACCCGAAGCCUAUGAGCUAACUUUUAGAGGCAGUAGUCGAAGGUAGAAUCAAUGAUUGGGGUGAAGUCGUAACAAGGUAAC